CCUUGUUUGCGUUGUUGUACUUGUAUAUAAAUUUCAUUUUAGUCUCACUAAAAAACACUUCUUAUCAUCCUAAAAUGUUCAUUCUGUCUCAUUUUUUCUCUUUCAUUUAGAUCAAAUACAUAAGUGGCUCUUACGAUUCUGAGAAAGGUUUUCGCUUGUUGGACAAAGAUUUCAGAGCAUGAAUAUUCAAAAGACAGCGGAGAGGGUUCGUUUCGGCGGCUUUUCUAUCUUGAACUUCCUCCUUCGGUAUAUCCAUCUAUUUGCAAGAUGAUCAAGACUUGUAGCAUGAAUAAAUUUGGUACUUCAUUUCACAAAUCAAUUGUUUUUGUCUCUUUGGAACCGUGCAACAUCGACAAUGUACAUAUAAUUUUCAAAGAGGAUUUUAGAACUAAAGUCCAUGGUGGAUAUUUUGACCAAUAUGGGGG